UCCGCCAGGGGACUACAAGCAUAAGCUUAAAACCCAAAGGACUUGGCGGUGCUUUAGACCCACCUAGAGGAGCCUGUUCUAGAACCGAUAACCCCCGUUAAACCUCACCCCUUCUUGUUACUUUACCGCCUAUAUACCGCCGUCGUCAGCUUACCUUGUGAAAGAAUAAAAGUAGACAAAAACGGUCUAAACCCAAAACGUCAGGUCGAGGUGUAGCGAAUGAAGGGGAAAGAAAUGGGCUACAUUUCCUGAAUUCAGGAAAUAACGGAAUAUAUGAUGAAAUAAAUAUAUGAAGGAGGAUUUAGCAGUAAAUGGAAAGCAGAGUGUUCU
rnacentral:rRNA from 1 species